AAGAAAAAGCAACACAGGAAGAUUAGCAAGUUGACUAUUGUUCUAAUUACCAAAUGACAAAAACCCCACCCGGUAAGGAGAUUAUUUAAAUCUAAGACUACAUCAAGGAUAUAGCUGGUACAUUCUUAGCUCCCAGAAAACGCACGUUUACAUGCCUAUGUUUUUGGAAAUGACUUUAUAGUAAAUCUGUUCCCACUGACAGGAGAACCCAGUAAGACCUAAAAGCAUGAAUUUGUACUUUUUUCUUUUCCUUUUAAAAUCUUGCCUACUACUCUUAGUGUUAGGUAUUUAUACCUUUGAAUAGUUUAAUGUUUCUAGACAGCUCAGUCUAGCAGUAUGAAAGACAGUGUGUAUAGGGGUAGAUAAACCACUAUUAAAAAAAAAAUUUUUUUUUAGGACAGUCCAGUCAAGCAACUUUUUAUAUUAAUUAAAAAAAAGGGUUCAUUAAAAAAUUUUCACAUGGCCUCCUAUCCUGAAAUCUAGCCUACCACACUGCUCACAGUCUCACAAGCACAGGAGGCCACCUACAACAAACUUAAAAAAAUUUAAGAGUGUUUUUAAGUUAGGGGCCUAACUCUGACUACUGGGAUUCUUCCUCAUAAAAAUGAAGCAAUUUCCCCACUGAAACUGUUUUCUCCUAGUUACAGACUCCAGAUUCAUCGCUACAUGCCCUAAGGUCUUGCUACCCAAAGUGUGUUCAGAAGACUAUCAGCCUCGAAGGACCUGGGAACUUGUCAGUAACACACUCUUGGGCUCACUGCCAACUGCAGAACUGGAAGAGGGGUUCCUAACACACUUCAAAGUCAGAGACCUGCUGUCCUAAGUUACCAAAGAACUAAAGAGGACAGGAGGAGUUCAAUGUGAAUUGGCAUACAUAGGAAAACUAGCACAUGCCAGGUACAGUGCACCACAGGUCUUCCAAUAACAUACCUCUUAAUGGGAAGUCAGUCUUUUCAGAAUCUAUCCUACAUAGAAUAAAGAUGCCUUUUUGCAUCCUGCCUUUUCUUACAUGUGAGAGGCUAAGAUGAACCAGUCACACAUGAACGACGUGUUAAGAAGUAGCGAUGACUUAACAGCACUUCUCAGUUUGCCAACAGGACAGAGAAAUGAAGUGUUAGCAUCAGCGAUCAAGUGGAAAGUUUGAACAGUGACACGCAGAGUUCUGUUAAUAAGGAGGCAACUGUCAGGUGUACAUCUGGAUCUCUGCUACACAGAUAACACCUUUCGCAAGGUGUGUUUCAGGCCCUUGUGAAACACCUUCUCAUGAAUUUUCUAACUUUGGCUAGUACCACAGACAUUCAAAAAUCAAUGAUUCUGUUCACUUGCUCUUGAGCACAGCAGUUCAGGCUGUUUGAAAAGAUUCUUUAAAUAUCUGUAAAAUUCACGUGUGGUAAUAAACAUCUGGUUGCUUUUCUCCCCUUACAUGCUUUCAAGCCUCUGAAUACAACAUGACCGCAGUCAACACAAGAUCUAAACGAAAUCCUUGAGGUCCUUCUAUGUGAGGUAUGACAGCAAAAGUCCAUAAACAUUAACAGGUUCUCGUCUGAGGCGGCGACAAUGAGAGAAGAAAUGACACAGAAUAGACAUGGCACAGGGAAUUCCCCCGAGGUCCAGUGACAGGCUCGAUGCUUUCACUGCCAUGGGCCCAGGCUGGAUGCCUACUCAGGGAACUAAGAUCU